UGGGGAAUCUUGCACAAUGGGCGAAAGCCUGAUGCAGCAACGCCGCGUGAGCGAAGAAGGCCUUUGGGUCGUAAAGCUCUGUCCUAAGGGAAGAAGAAAGUGACGGUACCUUAGGAGGAAGCCCCGGCUAACUACGUGCCAGCAGCCGCGGUAAUACGUAGGGGGCAAGCGUUAUCCGGAAUUAUUGGGCGUAAAGAGUACGUAGGCGGUUCUUUAAGCGCAGGGUUUAAGGCUAUGGCUUAACCAUAGUUCGCCCUGUGAACUGGAGGACUUGAGUAUCGGAGAGGAAAGCGGAAUUCCUAGUGUAGCGGUGAAAUGCGUAGAUAUUAGGAGGAACACCAGUGGCGAAGGCGGCUUUCUGGACGAAAACUGACGCUGAGGUACGAAAGCGUGGGGAGCAAACAGGAUUAGAUACC
rnacentral:rRNA from 1 species